rnacentral:misc_RNA from 1 species
GAUGAAGAACGUAGCGAAAUGCGAUACUUGGUGUGAAUUGCAGAAUCCCGUGAACCAUCGAGUCUUUGAACGCAAGUUGCGCCCGAAGCCAUUAGGCCGAGGGCACGCCUGCCUGGGCGUCACACGUCGUUGCCCCCCCAUCUACUCCUUCGGGAUUGCGGGGGGCGGAUGAUGGCCUCCCGUGCGCCUCGCCGCGCGGUUGGCAUAAAUGCCAAGUCCUCGGCGACGCACGCCACGACAAUCGGUGGUUGCGAAACCUCGGUUGCCCGUCGUGUGCGGUCGUCGCGCAUCGAGGGCUCGAAAAAAUUGCCGGGCUCCGGCUCGGCUUUCAACGCGACCCCAGGUCAGGCGGGGUUACCCGCUGAAUUUAAGCAUAUCAAUAAGCGGGGA